rnacentral:rRNA from 1 species
AACAUUAUAGGCUGGAAGUGCAUGGGACUCGGGAAUGGCCCAGUAGUUCGCUCUCUUCUCGAGCUGGGACGAGUGGAGGAGCCUGACAUUUUGUUUUUAUCGGAAACAAGGAUGACGGAGAAGGAGUUAGACAGUUUCAGGUGGAAGUUGGGGCUAGCCAACAUGUCGGCGUGGAGUUCAGUGGAAAGGAGUAGAGGUGUCAUGGAAUUGUCACGGCAGAUGAACUAG